rnacentral:sRNA from 1 species
UGUUUUAAUACCAAAUCUUGGUGCUUUU